AUACAUGCAGUCGAACGCUUUUUCUUUCACCGGAGCUUGCUCCACCGAAAGAAAAAGAGUGGCGAACGGGUGAGUAACACGUGGGUAACCUGCCCAUCAGAAGGGGAUAACACUUGGAAACAGGUGCUAAUACCGUAUAACACUAUUUUCCGCAUGGAAAAAAGUUGAAAGGCGCUUUUGCGUCACUGAUGGAUGGACCCGCGGUGCAUUAGCUAGUUGGUGAGGUAACGGCUCACCAAGGCAACGAUGCAUAGCCGACCUGAGAGGGUGAUCGGCCACACUGGGACUGAGACACGGCCCAGACUCCUACGGGAGGCAGCAGUAGGGAAUCUUCGGCAAUGGACAAAAGUCUGACCGAGCAACGCCGCGUGAGUGAAAAAGGUUUUCCGAUCGUAAAACUCUGUUGUU
rnacentral:rRNA from 1 species